rnacentral:rRNA from 1 species
GACGAACGCUGGCGGCGUGCUUAACACAUGCAAGUCGAACGGAAAGGCCCUGCUUUUGUGGGGUGCUCGAGUGGCGAACGGGUGAGAAACACGUGAGUAACCUGCCCUUGACUUUGUGAUAACUUCAGGAAACUGGGGCUAAUACCGGAUAGGAGCUCCUGCAGCAUGGUGGUGGUUGGAAAGUUUCGGCGGUUGGGGAUGGACUCGCGGCUUAUCAGCUUGUUGGUGGGGUAGUGGCUUACCAAGGCUUUGACGGGUAGCCGGCCUGAGUGGGUGACCUGCCACAUGGGGACUGAGAGAGGGCCCAGACUCGUACGGGAGGCAGCAGUGGGGAAUAUGGCACAAUGGGCGGAAGCCUGAGGCAGCAACGCCGCGUGCGGGAUGACGGCCUUCGUGGUGUAAACCGCUUUCGCCUGUGACGAAGCGGGAGUGACGGUAAUGGGUAAAGAAGCACCGGCUAACUACGUG